CUAAGAUACAGCAGACGAAAACAAAGAUGGCCGACAUUCGAAAAAUUUUCGAAAAUUCUCGAAGACAAGGCCAUCAGCUGUUCGUCCCAUCAGCUGUGCGCCCCAUCAGCUGAUCUCCCUUCCCAUCUCUUUGCUGUUGUUUUUCACAAGAGUUCUGCAAGAAUAAUUUGAAUUUCAAAGCUGUUGUUCAAGUCUUUUACUAAUUGACUACUUUUACUAAACCACUACUUCCCCACUAUUUCUACGUUGACGGGAGCAAAAAGUGCGAAUUUCGGACCAGAAAUGGAACUUUCCUUAUACAUGGACGACGCACAGAACCAUCACAGAUUCACGAUACUCCCCCAAAACCAGUAACUGCAGCGGUGUAUUUCGAAGAGAUAUUCGGAUACAAAUUCAAGGACGAGGAGAUGUUACACCAGGCCCUAAAACGACCGACGGCCAGCCUUAAAAGCUCAGUCAAGAAGGGAGACAGAUUGGAGUUAGUUGGAGAUGCUGUACUAGACUUAAUUAUGAUCGAGGAGUGCUUCGAGCGGCAUGAAAACUACGGAG